rnacentral:rRNA from 1 species
GAUGAACGCUGGCGGCGUGCCUAAUACAUGCAAGUCGAGCGAAGAGGGGACGGGUGAGUAACACGUGGGGAACCUCCCAGAAGACCGGGGAAAAUUAGGGAAAACGGAGGUAAUACGGAAACUUAUAGCUGGUUCCACUCGGCAUUAGCUAGUGGGUAAGGUAACGGCUUACCAAGGCAACGAUCCCUAGCCGACCUGGGAGGGUGAUCGGCCACACUGGAACUGAGACACGGUCCAGACUCCUACGGGAGGCAGCAGUAGGGAAUCUUCCGCAAUGGGCGAAAGCCUGACGGAGCAACGCCGCGUGAGUGAUGAAGGCCUUCGGAUCGUAAAACUCUUUUAGUAGGGAAGCGUUACCUAAACAGAAAGCCACGGCUAACUCCGUGCCAGCAGCCGCGGUAAUAC